rnacentral:rRNA from 1 species
GCGCGCAAAUUACCCAAUCCUGACACGGGGAGGUAGUGACAAUAAAUAACAAUACCGGGCGCGUUAGUGUCUGGUAAUUGGAAUGAGUACAAUCUAAAUCCCUUAACGAGGAUCCGUUGGAGGCAAGUCUGGUGCUAG